CCUGUUUAACAAAAACAUGUCUUUUUGAGUUAUUUUUAAAGUCUGACCUGCCCACUGAAGUUAUUUAAAUGGCCGCAGUAUUCUAACUGUGCAAAGGUAGCAUAAUCAUUAGUCUUUUAAUUGAAGGCUGGUAUGAACGGUUGGACGAGGUAUAAGCUGUUUCAUAUAAAUUUAUAAUAGAAUUUUAUAUUUUAGUCAAAAAGCUAAAAUUUAAUUAAAAGACGAGAAGACCCUAUAAAUCUUUAUACUUUACAUUGUUUAAAUUUUUUAGAUUAAUUUUAUUUUUAUAAUUUAAAGUAUUUUGUUGGGGUGAUAUUAAAAUUUAAUGAACUUUUAAUUAUUUAAAAUCAUUAAUUUAUGAGUUAUUGAUCCAUUAGUAGUGAUUAUAAGAUUAAGUUACUUUAGGGAUAACAGCGUAAUUUUUUUGGAGAGUUCAUAUCGAUAAAAAAGUUUGCGACCUCGAUGUUGGAUUAAGAUAUAUUUUUAGGUGUAGCCGCUUAAA
rnacentral:rRNA from 1 species